rnacentral:misc_RNA from 1 species
AACGCACCUUGCGCCCUUUGGUAUUCCGAAGGGCAUGCCUGUUUGAGUGUCAUUAAAUUCUCAAUCUUAUUAGGCUUUGUCUAAUAAGGCUUGGAUGUGGAGGUUGCAGGCUUGUCUUCAGGUCGGCUCCUCUGAAAUGUAUUAGCUGGGUUUGCGCCUUCAGCCUAUUGGUGUGAUAAUUAUCUACGCCUCUUGGGUUGUUAGCGUGUGUUGACUUUCCAGCUUCUAAUCGUCCUGCAAGGGACAAUAUUUUUGAAACAUUUGACCUCAAAUCAGGUAGGACUACCCGCUGAACUUAA